CCAUGGACAGAACUGUGCUGGUGCUCCUCUUGAGUCUGCAGGUUUUCCUGCUCAUCACAGCCUUCGCUUCUACUGAUGCAGCUCCUCUGGUGAAAGAUAAUCAUCAGCGACAGUUUCCUGGUCAGGCAAAAAGUGCACCCAAGAGAAUGAUCCGUGCUGCCUGGUGCAGAUGCAGACCGGGAGCAUAUACCAUCAUUGGAGAUAGAAUGUUUUCAACAAAUUUCAACACGAAAGCAAGAAACCUGCGGGAGAGAUGAGUAAUAUCUGGGAUGCUGGAUAUGGAUGAUCAAACUACCCCAAACCCUCAACUGUUGGAUUUGCGCAGCAAAAGAAAUAACUGAUUGGAAGAAGAUGGACGAAGGAAGACCAGAGAGCUUGUUUUCUAAAUCAGUAAUUAAUGAAGGAAACAGAACAGAAUUAGAAAUUGCACAGUUCUUGCAGAAUGUGACCACAAGAUGGAGUCAGUCAGCUUUUUUUUUUCACAGCAGCAGAUCA